GUUAGCGGCGGACGGGUGAGUAACACGUGGGUAACCUGCCCAUAAGACUGGGAUAACUCCGGGAAACCGGGGCUAAUACCGGAUAACAUUUUGAACCGCAUGGUUCGAAAUUGAAAGGCGGCUUCGGCUGUCACUUAUGGAUGGACCCGCGUCGCAUUAGCUAGUUGGUGAGGUAACGGCUCACCAAGGCAACGAUGCGUAGCCGACCUGAGAGGGUGAUCGGCCACACUGGGACUGAGACACGGCCCAGACUCCUACGGGAGGCAGCAGUAGGGAAUCUUCCGCAAUGGACGAAAGUCUGACGGAGCAACGCCGCGUGAGUGAUGAAGGCUUUCGGGUCGUAAAACUCUGUUGUUAGGGAAGAACAAGUGCUAGUUGAAUAAGCUGGCACCUUGACGGUACCUAACCAGAAAGCCACGGCUAACUACGUGCCAGCAGCCGCGGUAAUACGUAGGUGGCAAGCGUUAUCCGGAAUUAUUGGGCGUAAAGCGCGCGCAGGUGGUUUCUUAAGUCUGAUGUGAAAGCCCCACGGCUCAACCCGUGGAGGUCAUUGGAAACUGGGAGACUUGAGUGCAGAAGAGGAAAGUGGAAUUCCAUGUGUAGCGGUGAAAUGCGUAGAGAUAUGGAGAACACCAGUGGCGAAGGCGACUUUCUGGUCUGUAACUGACACUGAGGCGCGAAAGC
rnacentral:rRNA from 1 species